UGGCUCAGAACGAACGCUGGCGGCAUGCCUAACACAUGCAAGUCGAACGAGACCUUCGGGUCUAGUGGCGCACGGGUGCGUAACGCGUGGGAAUCUGCCCUUGGGUUCGGAAUAACAGUUGGAAACGACUGCUAAUACCGGAUGAUGACGUAAGUCCAAAGAUUUAUCGCCCAAGGAUGAGCCCGCGUAGGAUUAGCUAGUUGGUGAGGUAAAAGGGCUCACCAAGGCGACGAUCCUUAGCUGGUCUGAGAGGAUGAUCAGCCACACUGGGACUGAGACACGGCCCAGACUCCUACGGGAGGCAGCAGUGGGGAAUAUUGGACAAUGGGCGAAAGCCUGAUCCAGCAAUGCCGCGUGAGUGAUGAAGGCCUUAGGGUUGUAAAGCUCUUUUACCCGGGAUGAUAAUGACAGUACCGGGAGAAUAAGCCCCGGCUAACUCCGUG
rnacentral:rRNA from 1 species